rnacentral:rRNA from 1 species
GACAGAGGUGCCAAGCGUUGUUCGGAUUUACUGGGCUUAAAGCGCAGGUAGGCGGGCCCGCAAGUUGGUUGUGAAAUCCCCCGGCUCAACCGGGGAACCGCUUCCAAUACUGCGGGCCUUGAGGCAGGUAAGGGUCACUGGAAUUCCCGGUGGAGCGGUGAAAUGCGUAGAUAUCGGGAAGAACGCCUGUGGUGAAAACGGGUGACUGGGCCUGCCCUGACGCUGAGCUGCGAAAGCCAGGGGAG